rnacentral:lncRNA from 1 species
GCCGAGGGCAGGCUACUCGAUCCAAAAAAUGGGUCCGUGGCAGCUCUAGAGCUGCUGUUGAACAAUCGAACACUUGACUUGGACUUUUAAUUCGGGCAAAUAAAUUUUAUAUACUAGAAGUUACAACAACCAAAAGAAGAUGAGUAAUAGGGAAGCUUGCUUUGUGUGUAUUGAAAAAAAAAACUCACAGAAAUUAAAAACCUUUUAUGU